rnacentral:rRNA from 1 species
CACCGCGGUUAUACGAGGGGCCCAAACCAAUACUCAACGGCGUAAAGUGUGAUUAGGGAAAAAAAGACUAAAGAGAAAGGUACCCCCAGCUGUUAUACGCUAACGGAAAAACUGAAGAACCACAACGAAAGUGACUUUACAACCCUUGAACUCACGACCAUUAAGAAA